rnacentral:rRNA from 1 species
AGAGUUUGAUCAUGGCUCAGGAUGAACGCUAGCGGGAGGCUUAACACAUGCAAGUCGAGGGGCAACACGAGGUAGCAAUACUUUGGUGGCGACCGGCGCACGGGUGAGUAACGCGUAUGUAACCUACCCUGUACAGGGGGAUAGCCCGGAGAAAUUCGGAUUAAUACCCCAUAAAGAUAUCGAGAGGCAUCUUUUGGUAUUUAAAGUUUCGACGGUACGGGAUGGGCAUGCGUAACAUUAGCUAGUUGGUAAGGUAACGGCUUACCAAGGCGACGAUGUUUAGGGGUCCUGAGAGGGUGAUCCCCCACACUGGUACUGAGACACGGACCAGACUCCUACGGGAGGCAGCAGUGAGGAAUAUUGGUCAAUGGGCGUAAGCCUGAACCAGCCAUCCCGCGUGCAGGAAGACGGCGCUAUGCGUUGUAAACUGCUUUUCCAGGGAAAGAAAACCCCCGACGUGUCGGGGCUUGCCGGUACCCUGGGAAUAAGCAUCGGCUAACUCCGUGCCAGCAGCCGCGGUAAUACGGAGGAUGCGAGCGUUAUCCGGAUUUAUUGGGUUUAAAGGGUGCGUAGGCGGAUUAAUAAGUCAGUGGUGAAAACCUUCAGCUUAACUGGAGACUUGCCAUUGAUACUGUUAGUCUUGAGUACGGUCAAGGUAGGCGGAAUGUGUAAUGUAGCGGUGAAAUGCUUAGAUAUUACACAGAACACCGAUUGCGAAGGC